rnacentral:rRNA from 1 species
UACGUAGGGGGCAAGCGUUGUCCGGAUUUAUUGGGCGUAAAGAGCGUGUAGGCGGUUUGGUAGGUCCGUUGUGAAAACUCGAGGCUCAACCUCGAGACGCCGAUGGAAACCAUCAGACUAGAGUCCGGAAGAGGAGAGUGGGAAUUCCUGGUGUAGCGGUGAAAUGCGCAGAUAUCAGGAAGAACACCCCGUGGCGAAGGCGGCUCUCUGGGACGGUACUGACGCUGAGACGCGAAAGCGUGGGGAGCGAACAGG